CAAUAGCGUAUAACAAAGUUGUUGCGGUUAAAAAGCUCGUAGUUGGGUUUCUGCCGAGGACGUCCGGUCCGCCCUCUGGGUGAGUACAUGGCACGGCCUGGGCAUCUUCUUGGGGAACGUAUCUGCACUUGACUGUGUGGUGCGGUAUCCAGGACUUUUACUUUGAGGAAAUUAGAGUGUUUCAAGCAGGCACACGCCUUGAAUACAUUAGCAUGGAAUAAUAAGACAGGACCUCGGUUCUAUUUUGUUGGUUUCUAGAGUUGAGGUCAUGAUUAAAAGGGAUAGUUGGGGGCGAUUCGUAUUUAAUUGUCAGAGGUGAAAUUCUUGGAUUUGAUAAAGACGGACUAUUGCGAAAGCAUUUGCCAAGGAUGUUGUCAUUGAUCGAGAACGAAAGUUA
rnacentral:rRNA from 1 species